rnacentral:rRNA from 1 species
CCUACGGGAGGCAGCAGUGGGGAAUCUUGCGCAAUGGGCGAAAGCCUGACGCAGCGACGCCGCGUGGGGGAUGAAGCUUCUCGGAGUGUAAACCCCUUUCGACCGGGACGAAACGCCCGCAAGGGCUUGACGGUACCGGUAUAAGAAGCCCCGGCUAACUACGUGCCAGCAGCCGCGGUAAU